GAGGCGAUGAGUACCCCUUCGAUGACGACAUCGUGAUCACCCCGGACUUGCUCCGCGGGCUCGACGACGACGACGGUACUGGUGGGUGCGUGCGCGGCGCGGCAGAAAGAACGGGAGCGGAGGCGGAGGACGAGCGGCGGCAGUCCGAGGCGGAGGUCGGUGACCGCUCACCAACGCAGCAGCCGCCGCCGCCGUCUCCCUCGUGCGCAGUGGCCGGAGAAGGAGCGGGGGGCGACGAAGACCCCUUCGACGACGACAUCGCGAUCCCCAUGGACUACCUCCUGGAGCUGCUCGACGGCGACGCGUCCUUGGACGGUGAGGCGGAGGCGGAGACCGAGACCAUCCUCACGCUUCUAAGCGCCGCCUGCGAACAAAGCGCGAAACCGAAACUCACUAACCUGGUAAAGUAAACAAAAACGACAUAAACCUCCGCUCCUUCUUUUCUUCCUCUGAGUUUCCCUCACCGGCCUAGGCCUUCCUCGCAACGGACGCAAUCGAUAAGCUAAGGUAGUGUUUGGUUGAAG
rnacentral:misc_RNA from 1 species